AGGCGAGGGGCCCACGAAGGAGUGGGACCUAUUGUGUAUGACUUGUGGGUCCCCUAGAAAAAGUGAAGUUGAAGAGGAGGAAGGCGAUGAGGUGGAAGGUACGAAGAGUUCGGAGAAAUCAAAAUCCGAUGCAGGAUCAGUUGAGGAAGAAGAGGCUGGGAUAUGGAGGUGGGUGAGCUUCGAGGCUAAGAUUGAGUGAAGGGCCUUCUUCUGUUGCUGGGAUGCUGCCGAAGAAAUCAUGUUCCCGUUAUUCAUGGCGGACUCAAGUUUAAUUUUUCACUCUGAGGGAUGAAAUUACAGUUUGCGGUGGCCAAAAUUGUACAAGACGGCUGAGAUCUUACAUGCGUUACAUUUUGGAUAUCUGUUGGGGGAAUGGAUCUGCGACUGUGUGCCGAAAAGGGGGGUGGGUAUGACGGUUGGAGUAAAAGGCGAAUGAUUACAAUCAAGGCUGUUUAGCCUCGUUUGACAAUCAGUAAAAUUUGGAUCAAUAAAGCUAUCUAUACAUUCGGAAUUGACAUUCUGAGUACAUCUGAGGUUGACAUCCCAAAUUACACUCCCCUUACAAGAGGGUAUCAAUCCCGAAUAUAUAAAUAGUGAAGUCCGAUAAAAAAAUUGAUUGUAUUUUAAAUUGACAAAUGAUAUAGUGAUAUAUGGUAUUAUUUAAAACUUGAUUUACAUGUAGCAAUGUCCAUGAGAAAAUAUUUUAUUGUAGAUAUAUGUGUAGUUGAAAAUGAGUUUAAAAAAAGAAGAAUUUUGAUUUAAUGAUUAUCAUACAUGGGCUUAGUCGCUUCAACAAUGCUAUAAAUACAGAAAAUUUUUCACCGAUAGACACUUGAUAGAUUAUUAUUGAAAGAUACAAAAAUACAAACAUAAAGCAGCCAAUUUUACAAAUUUUGUCUACUUUUUCCAGUCCUUGCAGAAUAAUUCUAGUCACUUUCUCGUGGGGAUGGACUCAUGGACAUAUGAUUGAGCUUUGGUCAAUCUUCAUCUUUGCUUAUUUUUAUUUAUUUUUAAUUAAGAACUUGCUCCAUGUAAUUUUUUUAGAAUAAAUUUUGAAAAAAAAAAUGAUUUCUUGGAGAAUGUGAUUAAAAAAUAAAAAAAAAAGUAUAAAUUCAUAUAUAAAAUUAGAAAUAACGUUUAGUUUAAAUGAAUAUAUAUAAUAGAGAGGGAAGACGCAGAGAAACUUGGGUUCAACUUUCAAUUAAGUUUCAGAAAUUUUAAUAAUUACAAGAGUUUAACUAUACAAUUUCAGAUUAAAAACGUGAGAAUCACGUGGUAUAUUACCAUGUGACCUCUCUUGGAAAAUGAUUGUGACAUAAAAAUUGUGUGAUCUGGGUAUUGAGAUCUAAUUUAUAUGUGUCUAUUGUGAUCUAAUUUAUAUGUGAAAUGUUAGUUACUUUCAUAUGAUCGUCUAAUUAAAAAUAAAAUAAAAUAAAGUGUUGAUGCUUGAUUAAUGAAAUUAAAUAUUAAAAAAUAAGUUUUAGUUAAUUUUCUCUUAAGGUUUGGCUUUUGGGUCAUUUAAUUGGGCCUAGAGUUUAAUGCAGAAACUUAAUUGUUGGCCAGCAAUAAGCUUUCGAAUUUCGUCCGCAACCAGAAGAAGAUGAGAUGUUAAAUAGACUAAAUCAAUGCUAUUUUCAGUAUUGGUGGACAAGUUUAAGAGGACCAAUUUGCCGACGCACUAUUUCGAAGGGCCGAGUUGGCAUUCCUUCCAAAAUCCAUCCUCGACUGCUAUCGAAAUUUCCUAUAAAAUGACCAGAUUCAAGAAAAUGAUUGUGCAGGGUUGUUUCAAAAUCGCUUUGCAACUUUUGCUAUGGGCAUAGUUGAUUGAAUGAUCCAACCUCCCAAAUCUAAGGAAGAUGGAUUUCUCGGAAUUUAGGUAGAAUUGGCCAUAGGAAAUUGAGCAGGGAGGCAAGAUUGGCCGAUAUAGGAGCGAGGCCAAGGACCAAUGCAGCCGUGUGCUCUCACUUGGCCCAUGUUUGGCCUCCAUUUUUUUUUUUCAAAUUUUAAUGUUUGGAAUAAUAUUUUUUUGAAGAUUGCGUGGUUGAAAAAGUAUUUUAUGGAAGAUUGUAUGAUUGAAAACAAGAGAGAGGAAAAAAAUGAAAGAGUAUAGGUACCAAACAUGGGCUUGGUCUUAAUGGUGUCCACCCUUCUUGCAAUGCUAGAAAGGCCUUGUUCGAUUUAAAUAUAAAAUAAUUUUUUAGUAAAUUUUGAUUAAAAUUGAUAGAAUGUGAAGUUAAAAAGUUAUGAAUAUCGUGAAAUAUAUAGUUAAAAUUGAAUUGUUAAUUUUGAAUUACUUUAGUGUGAAUGCAGAACGUUGACCACUCAUUUGGCUCUAAGCAAAUUUUAAAGUUCCAAAUUUAAAAAUAAAGUUGGGGUCCGAAUCGAUCGAAUCGGACCCAACCCCACACGACCCAAAUCGAAUGAGCUGUUCUUCUUAAGUUAAAUACUCAAACGAGUAUCUGAAUCAAAAACCAACAUUUUUGGUUCGGUUGUUGAUUCUAGAUCAAAAGUAGAAGUACCGAAUAAAAAUUGCAUCUCUCUAAUUUUUUAAUUAAUUUAUUUUAAAUCAGCUAAAUUAUUUUAAUUUUUCUAAAUAAAUUUGCAAACUAAUUAAUUUAGCUUAAACCCAAAAAUAUGAUUUUCCUAUUUCUAAUUUUUAGUCCAAGGUCAACUUAAUUAAAUUGACCUAAAUUUUACCCAAAUCUAUUAUUCUACCAUAGUGUCAUUUCUGUAGUUAUAGAGAAAUUGAAUUGAAAUUUGACAGCACCUCUCUUAUUUAUUGUAGUUCGUUAUCUUCUUCUUUCUAUGAUUUUAAUAAUCAAAUAUAUGAAGAACUCGGCAAAACGCAAAAUACACAUAAAAUUGAACUACAUUAUUUUUUAAAGGUUAAGAUUGAACAUAUUAUUAGUUGAAUCAAUUUAUUUUUGUAAAUAUUAAAAAAUCUAAUUAUAGUACAGAAUCGAAAAAUUGAACCUAAACGGUUCCACGAAGGAGUGGGACCUAUUGUGUAUGACUUGUGGGUCCCCUAAAAAGUGAAGUUGAAGAGGAGGAAGGCAAUGAGUUGGAAGGUACGAAGAGUUCGGAGAAUUUAAAUCUGAUGUAGGAUCAGUUGAGGAAGAAGAGGCUGGGAUAUGGAGGUGGGUGAGCUUCGAGGCUAAAAUUGAGUGAAGGGCCUUCUUCUGUUGCUGGGAUGCUGCCGAAGAAAUCACGUUCCCAUUAUUCAUGGUGGAAUCAAGUUUAAUUUUUCACUCAUGGGGAUGAAAUUACAGUUUGCGGUGGCCAAAAUUGUACAAGAAGGCUAAGAUCUUACAUGGGUUACAUUUUGGAUAUGUGUUGGGGGAAUGGAUCUGCGACUGUGUGCCG
rnacentral:lncRNA from 1 species